rnacentral:lncRNA from 1 species
GCCAAUCCAGCCACUUUCCGGCGAAACCGAACCCAUAUCCAGGUUCAGCAGGCUGAGGCGCUCCCUCGGCUGUGGCGCGUGGCGGCGGCGGCGACCGGCGACGGCGGCGCGUGGCGGCGGUUCCGGGCGAGCUUCCUUCGGGCAGUUUGCUUAUUUUAUUCCCCUGAACGCACUGACACUGUUUAUUUUCUGUUUCAGGUUAUACAGAAAAAGUUGGACAAUUUUGCCCCCGGUGGAUCGACGGUUGAAUCUGCAUAUAUCUACUGAAUUACUUUAGGCCAAGAUUGCGGUCCUAAAGCAGUAGAUUCGCAUCUCUCUCGAUAAUACGGACUCAGACACGUCCGCUCUGGUAAAUUGGCUUAACCCGUUAAUUUUUCAGCAUUAGCGCGUCACCGUGUGGGGUGACAAUAGGUUGGGGGUUGUCAUUGCUUGGCAACCAUUGCUUGUGCUAGAAUUAGGGUUAUGUGCUCUUAAUUGAUCUUUUUGAUUGAGUAUUUGAUUUGGGUUUGAAAUUAGUUUUGUAAUUCUUAGUGAUCAAAAUUAUUGUGGGACUAGUUAUCUGCUAGACAUAUUUUUGCUACAUUGUUAUUUCCGCUGCUUACUUAUUCCGUUAGAAAUACCGUGACUUUACCCUUUCGAACAUUCCCUUGAUCUAAGACCGCGAGUCUUACGAAACCCUGGGAAUCUAGAACGGAGUAUAUUAUUGUGACCCCUAGGACUACUUUGUGUGGUUUGAUUGUGGUUUGUGCAUUUUUUGGCUAUUGUGUGAAGAUGACAACUCAUAGUUUUGAUUUGGGAAUUUUUAACGGAAAGGGUGACUUUGCUAUUUGGCAACAAAAAAUGAAGGGUAUUUUAGUCCAACAAAAG